GUGUGGAUGGUGUUCAGCACCAAGGACAGGCAUAUUUACCUGUGUGUGGAUGGUGUUCAGCACCAAGG
rnacentral:pre_miRNA from 1 species